GUCUACAGCCAUGCCAGCCUGAACAUGCCCGAUCCCGUCUGAUCUUGGAAGCUAAGCAGGGUCGGGCCUGGUUAGUACUUGGAUGGGAGACCACCUAGGAAUACCAGAUGCUGUAGGCG
rnacentral:rRNA from 1 species